GGCAGGAGCUGUGUCCUGCGGCAGCCGCUGACAUUCCAGUGCCAUCCCGACAGUGUUUGGUGUUCCCCGCUGGGCGCGGGUGGAGGGCACGGAGAUGGCUCUAUUGGCUUGUAUUCUUUUCUCUGCCUUCCAUUGGUGGUUUUUUAAACGAGCCAAAAAGAAACAAUAUCCCUGGGGAAGACUUGGGAGCAGAAGCAUACUGUCAGCUGGACUGAGUCAUAAAUUCUUCAGUCAACAGCAGUUCUGCGAGUGCCGGGAACAGAAAUGUUAAAGUCUUGUACAGAGAGUAAAGAGC